UUUCCGCGAGCAGUGCCUCUACAGUCCUCCGCUCUACCAGCUGAGCUAUCGAAGGGACCUGGCUGAGCUUCCUCCGCCAGGCCUCAAGAACGUGCAGGCCGCGUCUCGGUGCCCGGCCGCGCAUGCGCGGGACGCACUGCUGCGUGGCGGGCCGUGCGGGAUCGCGGGGCGGGCGGCCCUGCGGCCCUGCCUGGGGCGGCGGGGCGGGCGCUGCGGGCGCUGCGCUCGGGCCUUGGGCUCUACGGUGGAUCGGGGAGGUAUUGGCCUUACGCGGGGCCAGUGGCGCAAUGGAUAACGCGUCUGACUACGGAUCAGAAGAUUGUAGGUUCGACUCCUGCCUGGCUCGCGCUUGUUUUUCAUGCCUCUCACGUUACACGCGCACGACGGGGGCAGAGGUUGUUUUUCACCUGAUCUCGUAAUUUGUCACCGUUUAUACACCCGGCACAUCGUCAGUUAUUUUCUCUACCAAAGAAACUAUGGAAAACCUCCUGGGCAUAAACUUUUCAAACCCCCUAAAUAUGUGUCUCGUCGAAUGCAUUAACUCUGCCAUCGACUGAACCCAAUGAACGCGCCAGUGAAUUACGCAGGGGAAAAAUCCUUUAGGCCCUGGGAGAGGAGCAGCGUGCUCACCAUUGGCCUGACACGGGACAGUCAGUCUUAGGAUUGGCAUCCCCGAAAACAGCCGUGAGGUCUCCGAAGGCAACAAGCAACGCUGCUGUGACAAAGACUAUUAUUUUCGUAGCGAUUACCCGUUAGUCUUGAGAAGCGUGAGAGCAUCCUCGCUGUGCAGCUGAAUGAAAAGCAUGCGAUUUUGCAAAACCCCGUUUCUGACACCUCUAAAGGUGAUGCAGCGGGUGCUACGUGGCAUGCAGAAAAACACACAUGGCAACGACUGCUGGCGUGGAGAGAGUAAAAGUGUCUGAAGGCGGCCAAGUCUGUAUGCGUAGCAGGGGAAGAAUGGGAGUUUUCUCCUUCAAAAGAACCCAGAGAACAGGAUGGGAUUCACCUAACCUACUGCCAGGGAAAAUGCCAGGAGCUGUUGGAGACGGACAUUAAUCAACGACACGCAUUGCUACCAUACGUCUCUCAGCAGUGGUGGUUUUGCCAGACUACUGUGCUAAGUGAUGGCCUUUGGCUUGACACGCUUGUGAGCACUCCUUCAAGUCACGGACCAUCUGGUGCUAGUAAUGUGGGCGGUGAAGACAAGGCAAAUUCCUCCUGAUUGCCUCAAGCCAGUGUAGAGAGGUAAGCAUGGAGGGGAGCAGCUCCUUCAUAAGCAGAGACUUGCAAAUAGCUCCUCUUUUGCAGAUGGGUUUUGGUUUUUUCCCCUGAAUUAAUCUUGAAAAACCACAAAGUGAAUGAAAGGGGGUGAGUGUGUCCAAAUGGCUGGAGGGCAUAUAUCAGCAGGAAGAGUCUAAUUGCAAACAGGAUUUUGUAGGGGUAGGGGUAGUGCCUUUUUCUGUUCAGGCACCUUGGACUUGUGCCUAUUCCUUCGGUUGGCAGCCAGAGAGAUGAUCCACUGCGUGCCUGAGCCAGACAGGAUAGAGGGCUCCCACAUAUUCACUCAGAGAUCCCAGGGAUGUUGCUCCUGCUGCAAUGAUGGGAUGAACAAUGUUGUUAGAAAAGAGUAGUUUCUCAGAUUUCUAUGUACUUCUAAUGGAAUUACUGUAAGCAAAUAAGGCGACUCAGUUUCGACUAAUGGAACAUGUGCUGCAUGGAAGAACAGCUGUGUUGGGGUGCUCUGCAAUUCAGGAAACAGGUCCCAGUGAGAUGGGCCCUGCUCGAACCCAGGACAGGGCUGCAGCCAAGAAUACUGAUUUGAGGAGAAACCUCGGUCAGGCAGGGAACAAUCCUUACGCCUGGAGGAAGCUGGAGCCAGAGCUCGGAAAUCAGGCUAGUGGCCUGGGGAGGGGAUUAAUACAGCUAAGAGCUGGAAAUGAGAAGUGGUGAUACAAAGGGGUGGGCAGAUAGGGAAGGACAGGUGUGCCUGCGCUAUGCCAAGCCUACCUUUGGUGGCUGCUCCUGACUUCUUUUGAUAGCUUUCCUGGCAGUGAGGCCGGCUACAAAUAUACGUAGUUUUUAACGGACUUUUAGUUGCUGCUUCAGUUCAGGCUGAUGGGUGUUUCUCACCUUUCUUCUUGCUCAGCAAAUGGUGCAAGAAGCACAUGUUCUUUCCCCAAACCGAAGUCCUCCAACAAACCUGUAGAAGCCCCUGCGAUUCAGGUCUUCCUGGUUGCUCCCAACCCUAGAAGAUACUUCUUCCUUCCUGGUUACUGUGGAUCCAGUGGGGCCCUGCAGCUGAAGGAGGGUGCAUUCAGUAAUGCUUUGGAUAUUAUGGAGAACAAGCUGGCAAUCCAGAGUGCUUGCAAGGUGCCUUAAGCUCUACAUGGAGAUUUACCACAUCCUUUGGCAAGGAACAAGUCAUUAGUAUCCAAUUACACUGAAAUCAUACUUAAUUCAAGACAGGUUAAGACAAAAAGCAAAUAAAAACAUUUACUCACAGCUGCCAAGAUAGAUAGACUUAUAAAAGAGGUAGGUGGAGAAAUGAGAGAAAACCAGGCUUCAGUUACUGGCUUUGAAGAUUAAAUCAGUAAGGCCAUUCUCUCAUAUCCAGGCAUUUUGCCUCAGGCUCUCCUGACACAGUGAGGAGCAGAUAGCCUAUCUUCCUCCACACCUUACACCUCAGGCUGUGUUGACCAAGAAGUAUUUCCUCAUGGAUGAACAAAACAUCUCUCACAUCUAAUUUUCUCCUAAAAUAAUUAAUUUUUCCAUUUCAGGGAGGUCCACCACUUUAGCAAGGAGUUCCUCCUAUUUCUUCCCUGUCGAGGAGAUGCACUGGCCCUUCCUCUUGGCAAAAAUUAGAAUUAUUUCAUUCCUUUAGCAUUACCUGGCCAGCUAACAAUACCUUGGCUCAAGUGCUCAGCCAGAGUGCUAUCAUGGGAAAGGCACUGACUUAAUGCCUGAAUGCCACCGUUUUCUCUUUUUUCCUCUUUUGUUUUUUGUUUAAGUUUUUCUUCUGCAAUAAUGUAAACAUCUUCUCUUUACCUUGCCUGCUAUCAUUAUUCUGGCAGGCAUAGGGCAAAGUGUGUUCACCUAGUCAGCCUUGGUUUGGAGGCCUUGCUUCAAGCUGGUGCUGGGAUCAGGAGCAAGGGGAGCAGUUUCUGCCCACAGGAGCAUAGGCUGCUCUCUGGAUCACAGGACUUGCCUUUUCAGGGAGAGGGUGAAACAGUCCACCUGCUUCAUGGUAGAGGAUAAAGGAGCUGAAGGUUGAUGUGGGAAGGAGGAAAAGUGGGUUGUUGUGGUGCUGCAAAGCAGAAGAGGUGGUGGUGUGGUUGUGCUGGGCUUUGGGGAGUCAGUUUAAAGGGAGCAGUGCUUAUACAAUGCAGAGGGCAUCCUGGGACUGCUGUGUGCUUACUCCUUUCUUACCCUGUUAUUGAGUCUUUUUCCCUUCACAUCUUCCACUUGCCCCUGCAAACUUUCUCCUUCCAGUUUUACAAAGCGGCUUCACACAGGGACCACACAGAGAUACCCAUUAGCCCACUGGCAGCACAGUUACCUCCCUAAACUGGAAGGAAAUGGCCCAGGCACCUUUCUGCCCCCCUGCAUGG